GACGAACGCUGGCGGCGUGCUUAACACAUGCAAGUCGAACGGAAAGGCCCUUCUUUUGUGGUGUGCUCGAGUGGCGAACGUGUGAGUAACACGUGAGUAACCUGCCCUUGACUUUGGUAUAACUUCAGGAAACUGGGUCUAAUACCGGAUAGGAGCUCCUGCUGCAUGGUGGGUUUUGGAAUGUUUCGGCGGUUGGGGAUGGACUCGCGGCUUAUCAGCUUGUUGGUGGGGUAGUGGCUUACAAAGGCUUUGACGGGUAGCCGGCCUGAGAGGGUGACCGGCAAAAUUGGGACUGAGAUACGGCCCAGACUCCUACGGGAGGAAGAAGUGGGGAAAAUUGAAAAAUGGGCGGAAGCCGGAGGCAGCAACGCCGGGUGCGGGAUGACGGCCUUCGGGUGGUAAACCGCUUUCGCCAGGGACGAAGCGUGAGUGACGGUAAUGGGUAAAGAAGCACCGGCUAACUACGUG
rnacentral:rRNA from 1 species